rnacentral:rRNA from 1 species
GACGAACGCUGGCGGCGUGCCUAAUACAUGCAAGUUGAGCGAUGAAGCUUGGUGCUUGCACCAAUUUGAAGAGCAGCGAACGGGUGAGUAACGCGUGGGGAAUCUGCCUUUGAGCGGGGGACAACAUUUGGAAACGAAUGCUAAUACCGCAUAACAACUUUAAACAUAAGUUUUAAGUUUGAAAGAUGCAAUUGCAUCGCUCAAAGAUGAUCCCGCGUUGUAUUAGCUAGUUGGUGAGGUAAAGGCUCACCAAGGCGAUGAUACAUAGCCGACCUGAGAGGGUGAGCGGCCACAUUGGGACUGAGACACGGCCCAAACUCCUACGGGAGGCAGCAGUAGGGAAUCUUCGGCAAUGGACGAAAGUCUGACCGAGCAGCGCCGCGUGAGUGAAGAAGGUUUUCGGAUCGUAAAACUCUGUUGGUAGAGAAGAACGUUGGUGAGAGUGGAAAGCUCAUCAAGUGACGGUAACUACCCAGAAAGGGACGGCUAACUACGUG